AUUGAACGCUGGCGGCAGGCCUAACACAUGCAAGUCGAACGGUAACAGGAAGCAGCUUGCUGCUUCGCUGACGAGUGGCGGACGGGUGAGUAAUGUCUGGGAAACUGCCUGAUGGAGGGGGAUAACUACUGGAAACGGUAGCUAAUACCGCAUAACGUCGCAAGACCAAAGAGGGGGACCUUCGGGCCUCCUGCCAUCGGAUGUGCCCAGAUGGGAUUAGCUAGUAGGUGGGGUAACGGCUCACCUAGGCGACGAUCCCUAGCUGGUCUGAGAGGAUGACCAGCCACACUGGAACUGAGACACGGUCCAGACUCCUACGGGAGGCAGCAGUGGGGAAUAUUGCACAAUAGGCGCAAGCCUGAUGCAGCCAUGCCGCGUGUAUGAAGAAGGCCUUCGGGUUGUAAAGUACUUUCAGCGGGGAGGAAGGGAGUAAAGUUAAUACCUUUGCUCAUUGACGUUACCCGCAGAAGAAGCACCGGCUAACUCCGUG
rnacentral:rRNA from 1 species